UACGGGGGGAGCAAGCGUUGUUCGGAUUUACUGGGCGUAAAGGGCGCGUAGGCGGCGUGACAAGUCACUUGUGAAAUCUCCGGGCUUAACUCGGAGCGGCCAAGUGAUACUGUCGUGCUAGAGUGCGGAAGGGGGCUACUGGAAUUCUCGGUGUAGCGGUGAAAUGCGUAGAUAUCGAGAGGAACACCGGUGGCGAAGGCGGGUCUCUGGGCCGUAACUGACGCUGGAGGAGCGAAAGCAUGGGGAGCGAACCAGG
rnacentral:rRNA from 1 species